rnacentral:sRNA from 1 species
UCAAGGGCUGACACCCUUGGCUGUGGUAUUGCGCCCCGUCAGGGCU